CCUACUGGAGGCAGCAGUUAAGAAUCUUGCGCAAUGGGGGAAACCCUGACGCAGCGACGCCGCGUGGACGAUGAAGGCCUUCGGGUUGUAAAGUCCAAUAAGCGGGGAAGAAUAAGCAACGGGUAAUAUUCGUUGCGAUGACGGUACCUGCCUAAAGCCCCGGCUAACUACGUGCCAGCAGCCGCGGUAAUACGUAUGGGGCUAGCGUUGUUCGGAAUUAUUGGGCGUAAAGGGCGUCUAGGCGGGGGAUUAAGUUAGGUGUGAAAUCCCUGGGCUCAACCCAGGAACUGCAUCUAAAACUGGUGCUCUGGAGUUCGGGAGAGGAGAGCGGAAUGCCCGGGGUAGCGGUGAAAUGCGUAGAUAUCGGGAAGAACACCAGUGGCGAAGGCGGCUCUCUGGCCUAGAACUGACGCUGAAGCGCGAAAGCGUGGGGAGCGAACG
rnacentral:rRNA from 1 species